ACUCCGAACGACCUUUCACAAGCAACGUUAUUGAUUUAACAGUGAUCAUAUGUUUUGCCAAGUGGUGAUGUGUUGAUUUAUCAACAAAGUGGCCAAGCAAUGCAGAGUAUCAUUUCCAUUCAAGUAUCCAUUUGAUUAGCAGUACUCGAAAUCUUGACAAAAUGCAGCUUGUGGUUUCGUUAAACUAUUAUUAAUGAAUGAAUUUAUAAACAUGAAGCUUGUUCACGUGAGAUAUUUUUUCUCGAAAUCGUAUCUCGCAUUUGUCUCGAAUGAAAUUAUUGUUAAAGAUUACCGUUUAUAAUAUUGAAAAAGCACUAAAUAAAUCAGAAAGUGGUUUGUUGUUUUUUGGCUUGUACGACACAUAACAAAUACAAACAAAAUAAUCUCUUUUCUUUUGUCAAAUGUAAUCAUCUCAUCAUGUCAUUUGUCACAUCUGUAUCAUUUUAUUUCUUUUGAUUGAACCCGAUCAUCAUUUUAUCAAUUUGAACAAUAAAUCUCUAGUACAUUCGUUCAUUGUACAUUCACAUACAUCAUUUUUGUUGCCAUUCUUUUUGCAAUUAUAUACCAAGAAUGGAAAGAACAGCCUACAGUAUAAUUCCAUCUGAACAUUAGUUACAUUGAAAUUGAAAUUUUAUUAAACAGAGACAACCCCUAUUGCAUAAUAUAAAGGGGCAAAUAAAAAUCAAAACAUAUUAGAUCACAAAUUUACAAUAAGUUGUCAUGAUAAAGUUGUAAAUAAUCGAAAUGACCAAAAUUUGUUCCAAAUAACAAAUCAAAUUGCACAUUUAGGGCUCGUGUCAAUAUCCAUAAUCGACAUUCUUUGCUAAAAACUGAAUGAUUGACAUUUAAUUCAGCACCAGACCUAUUUCUUCUGUGUUGAUUCCAUCACAAACAAUUAGCACAAUUUGUUACAUUAAUUCUGUGUGUCAAGUGGAAAUCCAAAAAUGGCAAGUUGACUUGCAAAAUUCGAAACGGGCUUGUUUUAUUUUAGAAAUUACAAUUACAAUUACAAUGCAAUUAUGAAAGGUGGAUAGAUGGCGUUAGUGGCAAAAGGAUGCGUAUGUUAUGAACAUCUCUAUGAAAAAAGGAUGCGUACUGUGUGUAUGCAUUUAAUGAGUAGUGUGACUCAUUCGUGAUUGAUGGUUUAAUCGACUGAAAAGCACGUGUUUUUUGUCUUUUUUAUAAAUUGAUCUGUUUUUGAUUUUUGAUUUCAAACAGGAACACCAGUUAAUGAACAAACUUGUGAUGAAUUGAUUGAACAAUCUCAAUCAACUAGUAUUGCUGAUGAAAUUCAUUCAUAUCGACAUCCGCAAUUGCCGACAUUGCGCCACUCGAACUAGAAAUCAAACGUGAAGCGAAUAUCUCAUUGGCGAGAAUUUAUAAAAAUUACGAAUACGGUGAUGAAUUUAUACAGGUCGACAUUGCUGACAACUCGGAUGGGAUGGUAGAAGUGCCGACAAACAUAUAUGUCGAUCAACAAUUUGCCUGUACGUACCACCACAUAUACACGAAAACGAUUCGUAUGCGGGAAUCAAUCGGUGGCUGUUUUGCGGUUUACAAUGGCACUUAUCAUAUAUUGACAAAAUUAUAUCGGUUACCAGUAUAUUGCUCCAACUUACAGGCUGACUUAUUUAUGAGAUCGGAAACAAUCGACUUUACCAAUGAAAAAUUCAGCAGUAGAGCAAUUAUGACCAUAAUCAACAAUAAUAUCGGUGCAAUUAAGCAUAUUAUGAAAUAUGAUCGGAAAAAGACGAUAAAUUUGGCAAGAAAAAUUAUGACCACAACUACCGAUAAUAUUACCGUCUGCUGGCAGAAAACCAACAGGGUCGACCAGGUAUAUUCCGAUGCUCGAAAAUCGGUAGAAGAAAUGAUGCCCAAUGUCAAUGCGGUGAAACAAAUCAAACGGUACAUCAUCUCAAAUACGAUUGCCCGCUCACCGCCAACCUCCGUCACGAAUAUCAAAUAUCGAUAAGGAAUUGUAUUUCUGGUAUUGUUGAGCGAAUUAUACAUGAAGCAACACACUACAAGAGUAUUGCAAUCUGGGCUAACCAUGCAAACCAUGGUAUACAUUUUUAUCAUUCACCAAUCACCUGACCACCGUAGUGUGAAAUUUUAGAUGUUAACAAACAAAUCGUCAAUGUGAACCAUCAUCAUUAUCCUCAAUCACCUGAUCACCGUAGUGUGAAUUAUUAUUUUAAUUUUGAUUUUUGAUAAAUAAUAAUAAUUAAUUAUUUACGAAAAUGAACUGGGCAUCAUUAAUAGACGAUUCUGGCAAAUUGCUUGUAAUUAGCCUUUUCAAGUUUAUGAUUUCGAUCCAAAAUGGCGGUCAAGUAAUGAAGAAGACUGGCCUAAACAUGACAUUCAAUAUAGUUCGGAAGAUUUUAGCAAAAGAAAAGGAAAAAUAAUUUUUAUAGUGUAAUGUAUUAUCAUUCGCAAUCACACAAAUAAAUGGAAGACUUAUUUUCAAAUCUACAAAUAUGACUUUAUUCAAUGACAUUCAAAAAGCAACUUAACAAACAUCAAUCGCAUUAUCGAACAAUCGAACAAUGAGCAACACAACACGUGUUGCUUGGCUUAAUCGCCACUUGGGGUCGCGCUAUCGACUCACGACCAUUACAAUAGGAACAGAGACAGAAGUUAUUCAAAAAAACAAUCCUUAUGUCGGGCGGACGGAAAUCAUAAAUACGAAGAAAUGCAAAUUUCUAUUGAUAAAUUGAAAAUGCAAGUGGAAGAACUGCAUCAAAAUUGUCAAGAAUUAACAAGAAGAAUUAAUUACUUGACAAAUAGCCCCGGCAUAGAUGCCAACGUAUGAAUUUUUAUAUUUUGAUUUGCAAAACUAACUAAGUUUAUUUUUUAGAAUAGAAUCAAAAUCGGGAAAACAGAAUCGCUGUACAUUCCAGUGAUUUGGCAUCAUCUAUGAUGCCAAAUGAUGAUAUUAAAGAUAUAUGGCAUCUCUGCAAAACUGUAGGUUUUGCGGAGAUAUCAGAAAAAAAAAAUCUGGACAGAGUAUCAAAAAGAUACUCGUGAAAAUAUUUCCGAAUUAAUCCUUGAGUUUUUAAUCAAUCAAUGAUCUAACUGAUUUAUUGAAGUUUUAUUUUUCAGAUUUAUUCGUAACCCAUAAAUACAAAGAAGUGG